UCAGCUUUCUUUGCCUAUUGGCUUAGAUCAAGUGUAGUAGUAUCUGUUCUUUUCAGUGGUGGGUAGGCGGAUUAUACUUUAUCCGAAGAAACCCCCUGAAUUGUCCGUCAAGCUGGGGAAGGAUUUUCGGGAUUCGGGUGAAUAAAGACCCGGAGAUUCAGUGUAGAUCCCUU
rnacentral:snRNA from 1 species